CCAAAUUUAGCUCAGUUGGAAGAGCGUCGGACUGUAAAGUUUGUAGUCAUCCUUAGGUCCCGGUUCGAACCCGGGAGUUUGGA
rnacentral:tRNA from 2 species